UACGGGGGGAGCAAGCGUUGUUCGGAUUUACUGGGCGUAAAGGGCGCGUAGGCGGUCAGCACAAGUCAGUUGUGAAAUCUCCGGGCUUAACUCGGAAAGGUCAACUGAUACUGUGCGACUAGAGUGCAGAAGGGGCAACUGGAAUUCUCGGUGUAGCGGUGAAAUGCGUAGAUAUCAGGAGGAACACCGGUGGCGAAGGCGGUUCUCUGGGCAUGUCCUGACGCUGAGGAGCGAAAGCGUGGGGAGCGAACAGG
rnacentral:rRNA from 1 species